rnacentral:rRNA from 1 species
CUUACACCUAAGUCGCGUUGCAUCUCACCGAUAAGAAGUUGAGUGGAGGAUGUCUGAGUAACACGUGGGUAACCUGCCUAUAACUAAGGGGAUAACACUUGUAAACAGGUGCUAAUACCGUAUAUCUCUAAGGAUCACAUGAUCCUUACAUGAAAUAUGGUUCUGCUAUCGCUUUUAAAUGGACCCGCGGCGUAUUAACUAGUUGGUGGGGUAACGGCCUACCAAGGUGAUGAUACGACCACCGAACUGAGAGGUUGAUCGGCCACAUUGCUACUGAGACACGGCCCAAACUCCUACGGUAGGCAGCGGUAGGGAAUCUUCCGCAAUGGACGCAAGUCUGAUGGAACAGCCCCCCGUGAGUGAAGAAGGUCUUCCGAUCAUAAAACUCUGUUGUUAAAUAACAACACUAGUGAAAGUAACUGUUCAUUCAAUGACCGUAUCUAUCCAGGAAGUCACGGCUAACUACAUGCCAGCAGCCGCGGUAAUACGUAAGUGGCGAGCGUUGUCCGGAUUUAUUGGGCGUAAAGGGAACGAAGGCGGUCUUUUAAGUCUGAUGUGAAAGCCUUCUGCUUAACCGGAGUACUGCAUUGUAAACUGGAAGACUUGAAUGCAGAAGAUGAGAGUGGAAAUCCAUGGGUA